UGCUGCCCAGAUCUAGCUCGUUAGAAUGUUGCUAUAAAUGACACUGCAGGCUAUCUGUAACAUUAUCUGCUGUAGCAAGCUCUUACCACAGACACAAAUGUAUUCGUCUAAAAAACAGAACAGGCUCGUGAUGUGUAGUGUGCCUGUGAACGAAGUGUCGCCUUUGGGACAUCUGUGUAAACGUGUCCCCUCCGUGACGGACUCUGCCUCGUUUCGUUGUUCUCAUUGCGGGUUUCUCUCUGUCUCCGUCUUCACCCGUUAUCUACCUGGGUGUGUCUGGUUUAUCGCUCCCAGCAGUGUCGUGUUUUCCUUUGCCAGUUCAAACCCCGGGUUCUCCUUCGUACGUAAGUGGUGGCAGCUUGUGAGCGUUUGUUCUGGGUCUGUCACGGGUAAUUCUCUUUUCAUUGUAGGUGGUGAGAUCACUGUGUUUGUCUGUUUAUUGAUUGUGGGUGGAGUUCAGCAGGUCACCCAGAACCCGGUGAUGUUCCACCGGUGAUCUGGGUUCUGUACUGCGUAUGAACGGAGUGACUUCCGUCACUGGUUAAUCCUUAAUCGCAUUCAUCCCAGCCUAAUCCUAAACGCAAGCCUACUGAAGGAACGAGAGAGUCAUUUAAAACGGGACAAGUAGGAUCAGUCCUCGUUUAGAUUGGUUUAUCAAACCUUAUUUUCAUCCCAAACCCAUUUCCCCAUUCGAAACAGCCAUGCGUUUUUUUGUUUUUUUUUUAAAUAAUUCAUUGACUCAGCGCAUUCACUUUUCCCUUAUGCCUUUAUACAUUAUACAUGUAAGCCCGGAUUAUAAUAAUUGUUUAUCAAUUACAAAACACCCUGAGUAUAAUUAAUCUUUACAACAUGCCAAUUCUGUACAAUGCAAAUGGGUUUUCCCCUUCUGACCACUCGAUAAGCAGCAUUCAUUUAUUCUGCGUUGAAAUGUAUAGGCCUUCUUACUGCUGAUCACAACACUGUACACACCAGCUGCCAGCUUCUAAUUGCCUUUAGGCACAACCCAGCCCAUUCAAAACAGAUUAGCCGUUAAGCGCUGGAUAGUCCAAGCGUGUGUAUAAUAGGGCCUAGUUAACAGCGCUGGCAUGUCACAAAACGCUGGGACUCAGCAAAUGACUCAGCGAUGAGUGAAAUGUGGAGGUGUGUGUGUGUAUUGGGAAACGUCUGGUUGCCAAUACUGCUUGGUGCGUGAGAACAGCUCCCGUGGUGCGGCUGCCUGCAUGCCUUUGUAGGUGUGCAGAUGCAUGAUGAAUCUCCCCGAGAUGCCCUGUGCUUUUAGCUGAGCCACCGAACAAAGGGCUUUUCUUCCAAAACCACAUUAACUAAGCAAUCCCCCCCAACUGCCAAUAUUAACCCCCUUUAUUUGCACAACCCUGUUUAUUCUUCUUUUCUCAUAAUGAGCUGUCAUUUUGGUUGAUAAAUUACAGGUAAUUGCAUUAAAUGCACAAAGAAGCACCAAGGCGCCGCGGUGCCUCUGUCGCCCUGGGCUGUCGGAGGAUUACAAACAGGCGAUCGGAGGAGGGCCGCAGCACGGCGCGUUUAUUUCUGGAGAUGUGGGGGACAGGAGCCAGGCGGAGGACCCUACAGGAGCAGGGCUUCCUGUGAGCGGUCCGGGAUGACACAGUACAGAGGCGGAGUUCUGACGAUCACGACUCCUUUUGUCAGCGAACGUUCCGGGGCCGGGAUACACUACACAUGUUUCCGUGAGCUGCAGGGUAAUGGAAUUUCCUUUGACUGGCUGGGAGUGACAUACUAAUGCAGAAGGAGCCGUGAUGGCAGACUCGCGGCUCGGUUACCGACUGCAGAAGCCAGGACGCAACAGGGAACUGUACGACUGAACGGUCAGCUGGGCUUCUGACCUCGGCGAGUGUGUGGUGUGCAGUCAGCUGGAGACAAACGUGAUAGAUGACAGUGGUACUGCCCAUGUGCCUGGUUUCUACUGAGUGGGUCUGCAAUGACAUCUGUACCCUGUAUAAUUUCAUUAUGGAAUUGAGUGAGUGAUAUUAAUGAUGCAUAAUUUCGUUAUGGAAUUGAGUGAGUGAUAUUAAUGAUGCAUAAUUUCGUUAUGGAAUUGAGUCUGAUUGGAGCCACAGGUACUACAGGUGAUGAAGGAAGGCGAAUCACAGCUCAUCUCUCUGUGGUUGUUAAGGGACCGCGCCGCACUCUGUCCUGUUCAGUGCAGGCCUAGUUUGUUUCGGUCACAAAGCGCAGCCUAGUCCCUGUACAGUCAGUCGUAUGCAUUAUCAGGAACGUCAUCUAACAGCCUUCCGAGGACUUCACACCCUCGUAGUGAGGGGCGAGGUCACGGAUCAACCGCCACGUGCCGUCUUAUUCAGAAUCGCUUAGAACCCUGCAGAGCAAACCAUAUACCCACAGCGAGCUUCGUGCAUGCGAUAAAAUCUAGAACAGGCAGAAUCCUCCUUCCGAAGGCCUCACACAUCCCGGAAAGAGACGUGCAGUCUGGCGGCACAAACGGAGCUCGUGGCCCUGCGAAACAAAACCAAAACCAAAGCAGAUAAGUUAAUUCUCUUCUUUCUAUACACAUCUUAGAAUUUUUACAUUUUUUUCUUACUUAAAGAUAUAUUACAUUGGGCUUAAUGAAUAAAUGAAUCAUAUUUAACAUGUUCUACUGACAACGUUAUCACGUUGUCAUGGUUAUUCUUCGUGAUGGACCAAAUCUGUGCAGCAGACUUGCUCCUCUGCCUGUGUCGGCCUGCAUCAUAUGCUGCGCGGUAGAGACUCGGACACGCCUGAUAAAGGCAGGAGUUGCCACGGCUCCCUGCUGAUGACUGAUUACUCUGCAGACCCAUGUGGAGCCCAGACCUUUGAUACAUUACACAAAUGCAUUGAUUUUUCUCCUCUAAGAGCAGCUCAUGCUCACAGCGACAUGGCAGGCAGCGCUGACAUGGUCCACCUCGCUCAGCUAGCUGACCGGGGGCAGUCCAUCUCCCAGCAGAGCCUCAGUGCCUCCGCACGCUGCUCAGUUCAUUAAGAAAUUAUAUGUCAGGCCAGUCAAUACACUGAACAGUCCCUGUAAUCUCUGGACCACUCCAGUAGGAAAAGUGAGGGGAUGCGUUUACCUUGGGCGUUAAUACGCUGCUUUGCUAAUUUGGUUCUCCUUAUUUUCAAGUGGAAUUUUUUUUUUACACAGAAUAAUGGAUAUUUUGUGGGAGAUUAUAUAUAAACAUAUGAAAUAUAUCCAUGCAAAAUUAACUAAAAAUAGAUAUAAUCUAAAUCUAUUUUAGUUAUACAAAGGGAUCCGAAGCUACAUUAAUUAUGCUGAGGAGAAAGUGUUCUUGACCGUACUCUUUACUAGAAGACACCAGAGUAACGCGCACUAUGUGCUGGACAGCGGAGUAGCACGCACUGUGUGCUGGACAGCGGAGUAGCACGCACUGUGUGCUGGACAGCGGAGUAGCACGCACUGUGUGCUGGACAGCGGAGUAGCACGCACUGUGUGCUGGACUCCAGAGUAACACCCAGCAUAUGCCAAAGUACCAUUCACUACAUCAUGGACACCAGAGUAGCACCUACUGUGUGCUGAACACCAGAGUAACGCCUACUAUAUGUGCUUAUAAUUGUGAAUAUGUGUAUUCACAGACUUUAAAAAAAUGUAUGUAGAGAGGAACUUGUGAGCUGGCAGAAGGAUGGACAAUCGUACCUGUGAAGGUGGGGCACUUCCUGUGAAGCAGUUUGUCCAGGAAGUCUCCGUCCUGGCUCCGUCUGAAGCCCAAGGUGAGGACGUAGCGCUGGGAUGAGGACUCGCUCCAGAUGGUGGUCUGGGGCAACAGAUGUCCUCCACAUGGAUCUGAAGGAGGCGAAAACCAGGGAACCGACUGUGUUUUGGGUGUGAGGGUGUGCGUGCCCAUGACCUUCACAUGCUGACGCCUCACAACCUUUUGCUUCGUGUCUUUUGCUGAACUUUUACAGUAAUGCUGUGAAUAUGCGUUUAAACCUCAUAUGUUCUUAGACUUAUAAUAAUGACGA